CAGGACAAGGCCGAGGUGGGUUCUACUCCUGAAUCCAUGUUCCUUUUUCCCUCGUCCUUUACAGGUUGACCCCGAAAUCUUUUGACUCCACACACUGCUGGUACCCUGCUACAGCUAGCUGACUGUGGACUGCUGGAGCUGGUGCACACACUGCUGGCACCCUGCUACAGCUAGCUGACUGUGGACUGCUGGUACUCGUGGAAAGACUUUCUGAGGAUUUCAAACCACGAGUCUCCGCAUUCAGGAGAUUCAUCUCAAAGAAUCUGAUGAUGGCAAUAAUGAAAUAGCACUGACUGUUUUAGCUCAAGGGCGUGGAUAAGCGCUAAGUCCUAGAGCUGAAGGGAUUUUGAGCUGCUAGAUCAGAGAAAACCUUGGAUAUCUACAGCACAGUCUGGGAGUUGACAUGGAAGUUGAAAAACGGAAAGUCUGAAUCAAAAGAGCAUCUCAAGGAUUUGCUAGGAACUACCAAACAGAAUGGACACUUCCCAAAAUACAUCAUUUCAGCAAUGAAAGACUAGCAGGCUUGAGAUUGACAAGGGUUUCUCUGUGUUAUAGUCCUGUUUGCAUCAAGCUUUCGCCUCUGCCUGGUGAUUGGGGUGACCACGGUCCUGGGCUGAGACCCCAGAGGCCUGAGCUUUCCGGGGGUCUUACAUUUGGGGGCUUGUCCAGGAUUUGCGACCACCCCUCAUCUGAGUGGAUUCUAUCUUGGAGGUAAGAUGAUUUGAGCUCGCAACUUAUAUGUUCAUUGUUAUGUUCAUGUUUGUUUUGUUG
rnacentral:lncRNA from 1 species